CUGAAACAACAGUGAACUGAAUAAAGUAAAUAUUUCUGGAGGUACAGCUGGAACACAAUAAUAUAACACCAAGACAGCUCUAAAUAAACUUGACAAGAUCUAAAAAUAAAACCCAUCAAGUUGGUACACAACUCUUCUCGAGGUCCUUUGGAGCCUCCCACUCCUGAGCUAACUUGUGUGUCCACAGAGCACUUCCUUGUGUGAUCCCCUGUGCAUCAUGCAGGGAGACAUCCAGGGCACCGGCUCCCUGGGCACAGGGAGUGUGCCCAGAGUGGGAAAUCAGAAACCCAAAAGGAGGACUGAACUCAGGCCACUGGCAAAGCAUCUUAUUCCUCCACCUCUGUGCUGAGGGAGUGCACACAGGGUGUGUCUUGUACUGUUUUACAGCCAGGGACUGGUAGAGUUGAUUUAACGUAAGAGAGCGGAUCUUCCCUAAAAUAAUUCUUGUUUAGACACAGCCUCUUUAGGCUGGAUCAGAAGGUUCAGCUGGUCCCUGAAAGCAGCUGCCUUUUUGUUGCUUCUCAAAGGUCUCUUGAAAUUCAGAGGACAAGAUGUGGGCAGGGACAACAGGUGCUGUGCUGCCACUGGGCUGACAGGACAUUUUGGAAUCAAAAAUCUCCACAUUAUUCCCAGAGUGGGAGCUGACAGGUGCAGUGGCACUUCCUGAGCACAGGCUGAAGUGGAGCCACUGGAAAAAUCUGGCCCUGACCAGGUUGCUUCUGAUUUCAGUGAAAUGCAGGUGAGAAGGUAACUGGGAAAGGGGGGCUUUCCUGACACCUUUCCUAAUUAAAUCACACUAGGAGAUGGGAGGGAGUUCCUUGUUUGAUUACAGCAUGGUUCUUUCACAUUCUUUGGUAAAAAUAAAGGUUGACUUUGCAAGGCCUGAACUCUCUGUCAUGGUGGAAAAGAGCCCCCAAACCUACCAAAUAAAAGCCAUAUUUUAGACACAUGGCAUCCAUUGCUCCUCAGUAUGAAAUAGUUGUGCCUGGUUAACUUAAAACAAUUAUUUAAUUUCUAAACAAAAAAGCUCUGCCUUUAAUUCUUUUUGAUUUGAAAAAUAUUUCCAGGUCUUCUAUUGUUUUGAUUUUCUUUUCCCCUCCCCCUUUUUCUCCAUAUUAUAGACAGGAACUGGGCAGAUUAUCCAUCUCUGCCUGAGGGCUGCAGCAAGCCAAGAACCCAGUCAGCAGCAGCAACCUGCUUUGGCAGCUUCCAGGCUGGAGUUUGAAUCAACAGGUUCCUUUGCUAUUCUGAGCGUCAUGGUGACAUGGAGAAGAUGUGCCACCCAUUCUGCAGCCCCUGUUCCAGCAGUAAUGAUCUCCAGAUGAAGGACAGGAAGAAGCUGGAAAUAGUAAUAUCAGAAAUAGUCCCUGGAGGGGCUGUCAGCCCUCGAGUCCCACCUCCAGUGGCAUUCUGAGUUCAUGCUGUGAGUAAAACUCCCGAAUUUCUCACCAAGCCCGCAGUGAACUUGGUGGGGAUUUUGCAAGCCUAAGCCCUGGGGGGUUUGAUGCCAUCUCUGUCUGUUUUAUUUGGAAGACUGAGCUCAGAGCAAGAUUUUAUGAAGUGUGCCUUUCCAUCUCAAAUUUUAGACAGCGUUAACUAGAAACCCACAUACUCUGGAUUUGACAGAAAUCAUCUCUGGCUGCAGAGAUUUGCUGCAGAGCCGAAGGUUUUCUUUAAUACUAAAUAAAAUAACCCCAGAGACAACCUUGAGAAGUCGAGUCUGUGUGCCAUUCCAAAUGCAGUUUCUCAACAGCAAAGCCUAUUUAUUCUCUUAUGUGUAUCAUUGUUGCCCUUUUUAUUUAGCUCAGACUGUUUUCAGUGAUUUUACACUGCAGAGCUGCACAGAGUUGAACCAGCCACACUGCAGGAGCUGAAAGUUGCAGCAGUAACGUAGGAGUGAGCCAGGGAACCAGUAGGAUUUCCCAGGGGACUUGAGAUAACAUCCUCAGCCUCUUGGACCUUGGCAAAACUGUUACAUAAUGUGUGGAAGUCUUCCCAACAGGAACAAGCAAGCCUGGAAGGCCAAGAUUACCACUGAUUUGGUUUUGGGGGGAAAAAAAGAAAAAGACAACUGAAAUGACGUUGGACAUUCAUUAGCAAAGCAUUGUCAGAACACAAUAGAAGAACAGACAAAAGCCAGUCCAGAUUCUGUGGUAUUUCCUAAAGGGCUCCCUCUGGCACACGGCUAUUCCCUGCCAAUCCUUCUGUAUUGUUUUUGAUAAUGAAUAGAAGCUGAACAGAUGAUUGUUGCAUUGUCCACUAAGUGAUUCAUUUACAUUAAAUAGUGCUCCAAAAGUAGGCUUUGGGUGGACUUUUUUAGUCACUUCUGUUAUUUAUUUAUACAGUUUAAUUACCAUCUUUUAACUCUCCACUGUAAUAAUUAUUUCCUGAUUGCUUCAGCUAAAUUACACGGGGUGUAACUCCUCUGAAGUCAGCAGCCCAGCAAGCCCUGACAUAAGAAGCAGCAUCCCACCUCUAGAAAACUGCCCCUGAUCUGGGAAGGUGCUGAAGUUCUUGAGCAUCCCUUGUGUCCCUGGUCCCUGGCUCUGAGAGCUGGGCUAUGAAGCACAAACUUUGCUGCAAAAACCAUCACAAUUCCAUGGAUUUCCUUCUUGAUCUCUCAAUUCCUGCUGCAUGUCUGCACCAAGGUUCUUGAUUAACCCAGGACUUCCCUUACAAUUCCAGGCUUCUCUUACAGAGGUCAAAAGUUUUGGUGUGGUUUGGUUUGCAGCUGUGACAGAUGUUAGGUACUCAAGGGCGUAUUGUUGGAGAAGAACAUCAGUGUAAGAAGAUAUUUAGCUCCAAAUCCAUACCAGAACUGCAGGACCACUAAUUUGGAUGUACUAAUGGAUGGGGGAGAAUGACAC